CCUACGGGCAGCAGCAGUGAGGAAUAUUGGUCAAUGGGCGCGAGCCUGAACCAGCCAAGUAGCGUGAAGGAUGACAGCCCUACGGGUUGUAAACUUCGUUUAUAAAGGAAUAAAGUGAGGCACGUGUGCAUUUUUGUAUGUACUUUAUGAAUAAGGAUCGGCUAACUCCGUGCAAGCAGCCGCGGUAAUACGGAGGAUCCGAGCGUUAUCCGGAUUUAUUGGGGUUAAAGGGUGCGCAGGCGGAAGAUCACGUCAGCGGUAAAAUUGAGAGGCUCAACCUCUUCGAGCCGUUGAAACUGGUUUUCUUGAGUGAGCGAGAAGUAUGCGGAAUGCGUGGUGUAGCGGUGAAAUGCAUAGAUAUCACGCAGAACUCCGAUUGCGAAGGCAGCAUACCGGCGCUCAACUGACGCUCAUGCACGAAAGUGUGGGUAUCGAACAGGAUUAGAUACCCUUGUAGUC
rnacentral:rRNA from 1 species